rfam:Brassica napus, WGS project CCCW01000000 data, contig: 27182
GUGUAAGUAUGAACGAAUUCAGACUGUGAAACUGCGCAUGACUUAUUAAAUCAGUUAUAGUUUGUUUGAUGGUAACUACUACUCGGAUAACCGUAGUAAUUCUAGAGCUAAUAUGUGCAACAAACCCCGACUUCUGGAAGGGAUGCAUUUAUUAGAUAAAAGGUCGACGCGAGCUUUGCCCAUUGCUCUGAUGAUUCAUGAUAACUCGACGUAUUGCAUGGCCUUAGUGAUAAUGUUGUUGUUAGUGUUGUAGAG